rnacentral:lncRNA from 1 species
GUAAGUAAAAUUUCUGUAAUUUGAAGAAUUUUACAGAAAAAGAUUUGCUUCAAACUCAUGUGUUUGAUAUUUAUGAAAGAAUCAGUGUUUAAAAAUUUAGAAUUAACAAAGAACCUGCAUACACUUUGAAAAUAUGCAAGAUUUUGAAAAGUAAACGAUUAAAUUUUAUGAUAAUUGUUUUAGAUUCUGAAAGUAUAUAAUUGAGCCAGGCAAACAGAAGAGGAAAUAAAGGAAAAACAGAACUAAACUUUAGACUCACUUUCAACUAUUUUAACUCAGUCUCUACAGGAUCAAAUUUUCUCUGCAGCAAUAAGGAAUUUAACUCAUUUCAAGGAUACAGUGGAAAAUAUUGUGUUAUGCAUAGUUCUUUUUUUCUGUAUUUUGGAAGAAACUUUUUAUAUGUCUUGGAUUGCAAGAGAAUCAGAUGCAAAAUUCUCUGAUCAUAUAGUUUGGAGAAUUUACUGGCCAGUUGUCACUAAACGAUAGGUACUCCAAAACAAAGGGCACAUCUUGUUUGUCUUUUUACCUCUCAUAGCAUUUUGCCUUGUUGGCAGUAAUCACUCUUCAAAUGUGGGUGCAUUAUCUGCUGUGAAUAAUGUGAUAGAAAUAUUUAAACAAUAUCCUUUUAUUAUCAUUCUCCUAAUUAUUAAGAUAUGUCAGUUGAAAUAUUGGUGCUUUUUUUCAUAUGUACCAUCUCAUUUAUCUCUAAAUAUUCUUUUCAAUGAGUUAAAAGAAAACAAACCAUUCUCUAUUGGAAGGGGAAUAGCAAAUCUUUAGCAAAAUACCACUUGUCAAAAAAGAGAGAGAAAAAGGAAUAUCCCAGUCAAAUUAAAUUACAGAGAGGAUUGACAUUGAUAGAAUACAAGUGUCUAAGACAGAAUUGUGCAGAAUUCCUACACCCAAUUCUUAUAAAAUGUACCGCUGGGAAACACAGCUUCCAUUUUAUAUCUCAUUGCAUCUGAAAAAGCAAUUUUUUUAGCAGAAUUCCAAUAUCCCUCUUCAAUUUCAAUAUGACAUUUUAUUUUAAGGUUAAUAGAUAUUAGUAAUACAUGCAACCACAGAACAUCAGCUACAACAAUACCCUACACAUAGAGAAGAUGAUUCUGUGGCUUCUGUUCCAUUAGACACCAUCACGGGGCCCAAAUCUGAUGGGAUAGAAGCUCCUCAUAACUCGUUCAGUCUACUAUGGCAUGAUAGAGCAUCUGAGCAAGCCUCUCAGUGACAGUGUUUUACCGUAACAUCUUUCCUGACUUAGUUUCCUCUCUCAUAGGAUCUCAUAGCAACAAAAUUUUGGAAACUAUAGGUUUAACCAUUGAAAGCAGUGUCAUUGUGAAAGACUUUGGGUACAGAUAAGAUAAGAACAUGCCUUGAGUAGCCAGUGAUGGAAGAAAAUGGAUCAGGCAUGACUUCAACCCACAGCCUGGAGUCAAGCCCAGGCAAACUGAAGCAUAAAGCAGAGCCAGCCCAAAGAACCUGCAGAAUUGGGAGCAAGAAAAAUGAACGUGUUGUUUUAAGUUCCUGAGAUUUUGAGGUUGUUGAUUAUGCAGCAUUAUUGCACCAGAAAACUAAAUAUUAAAAUUUUAUGUUACUUGUGCGUUAGAUUCCACCUAUUUUCAACUUCAUAUAUUGUCUAAAAAAUAGUGCUGUUAAAAAUAGUAAGAAAAUUUUGACAUAUCACAGGUU